ACAUCUGUAGUCAUACGAUUUAUUCUGUGAAAUCCAAUGUUUACGUGCAAGCUCUCCUUACAAUUCAAGCUUGAACUUUUCUGAAGACUAUUGUCUUAGAUUCGUCGUUUCUGAAAUUUCUUUUGAAUUUGGCAUUGUUUACAUAGAAUACAGAUCUGUGGCUUAUUUCUACAUUGAUUUCGAUGUUGCAUUUGUCAAAGAGAAAACUUCAGCAGUUACAAUUAAUUAAUCUUGUAGAAUAAACAUAGGCAUUAAGAUAUUGGUUUGACAUUUUGAUACAAGGUCCGCAAUUUCUGGGAAGGGGUCAAGCUGAUUACAUUGACCCCAGUGCUCAAGUGGUACUGAUUUUAUCGUCACCGAAAGGACGAAAGGCAAAGUGGACUCCGGCGCAAUUUGAACUUAGAACGUAAAGAUUGUAAAGAUGGACGAAAUGCUACUAAGCAGUUUGUCCAGCAUGCUAACAAUUCAGCCAGUUCAAAUCUUACCGAGGUUAGCUUCGCUUUUCCUCAAUUCAUGGUCUAUAAAAUAAAAGUACCCGUUCGACUUAUUCCUUCCCCUCAGAAAUGCAGGAUUAUCCCUAAAUCCAAAACCAUUUGUUAAAGUCUGCAUCAAUCAAGCAGACACACAAUCAAAACCUCGUUCCUGCUAUGACCAUCUUUCAUUUCUUGUGUAUGCGAAAACCAGAUUGUCCAUUGUGUCCGUUCUUUAGAAAAAAUAAUAUUUUGAGAAAGAUUUGAUUGUUCUUUCUAGCCUGUCGAUCGACCACUUACAGACUCGCCUGACAGUUCGAUUUCUUUGAGUUAUUAUCUUGAAGUGACACAUUCAUUUCCGAGAAUAAGUGAUCUUAUAAUUUGAUUGGUUAAAAAUAUCCACACCACCAGACAAUAUAAUAGACAGGGUCCUGUACACGACCGAUCGAUCUGCUAGAAAUAAUAGCCAUCAGAAGCGUUAUUCAGCCAUUCUAAAAAAGAAAAAUAUAAAACUCAUUGGAUAGUGCAGUCCGAGAUGGACUAAGCUUUUGGUGACAGCCAGGACACCUUUGAUCUUAGGACUGCUUAAUUAGACCAUUAGUUAGGCUAACAACAUUAUUACCAACAACAACAACAAUGAUCAUUACUUCUAAAUCUUAACGAUUACAGACAGACAAUAUUUCCAAUAGCUUUUCAGGUGAUCUUUCAAAAUAUCUGUGCUGAUGAAUUGGGAAAAGAGGCUUAAAUUCGAGAAGAUAACAGUUUAGUAGUAAUCGAGAUCAAUUUUUAUGUUUGGUUGUAAUAAUUACUUUCUGUCAGGAAACUUGAUAACCGGAGCCUUUCUGACACAAUGCCGACCACAGAUUUCCGAUUCCUUUCAGAGAUAUUAUUACGACAUUGUCUCGUGUGAAAUGAAUUUAUAAGAUUGAAAUAGACAUAGGCGAUAGUUUCGAGAAUCUUCUCGCGUUUCUUGAACUACGUUUUAUUCUUGGAAUCUUGGAAUCUUUUAUCUUUCACUUGCUUCAGUCAUUAGGCUGCGGUCAUACUGGGGCACCGCCUUGAAGAAUUUUAUUCGAAACGAGAACAUAAACACUCCAAUACUGGUUGUAAAGCGGUGGGGUAGGAGCAAACAUAGACACAUACAUACAUACAUACAUACAUGCAUGCAUACAUACAUACAUACAUACAUACAUACAUACAUACAUACAUACAUACAUACAUACAUACAUACAUACAUACAUACAUACAUACAUACAUACAUACAUACAUACAUACAUACAUACAUACAUACAUACAUACAUACAUACAUACAUACAUACAUACAUACAUACAUUGGGUUGGUGCAUAAUUAUUGCGGCUUUUUGUUAACAAAUCUUAUUCAACAAAAACAAUGACAACACGUAACAAAAACAUCUUUAAAUGAUUAUUCCGGAGCAUAUUUACCAUCAACUUCAUUUACUGCUACCGAUUUCCUUGGCAGACGGUCAGACCCUCAUUUAAAGAUGUUUUUGCUAAAUAUUGUUAUUGUUUUUGUUGAAUAAAAUUCGUUGAAAAGAGGAUGCAAUAAUUAUGCACCAACCCAUUUCAUAUAUAUAUAUAUAUAUAUAUAUAUAUAUAUAUGACAGGCUUCUUUCAGCUUCCGUCUUCCAAAUCCACGUCACAAGGUUUUGGUCGGCCCAGGGCUAUAGCAGAUGACACUUAAUCCAAGGUACCACACAGUGGGGCUGAACCCGGGACUAUGUGGCUAGGAAACAAACAAACCUUUUACCACACAGCCACUCCUGUAUAACAGUUUAAAUCUUCGAUUUUUACGGUUAUUAUAUUUUUUUUAUUAGUUGAAGUUUAUUCUGAUCUGAAAUGACUCUUCUUUUAGAGUGCAUCAAUAAUGAAUCAUAACAUAUUAAAAAGAAGAAAAGAACUAAUUCUAAUUACGUACAAUCAUGAAAAAAAUGCAUUAAAUUCUAAUAUUUAUGAAAGCUGACACGUAAAUUUCAACAAAAAUCGUAAUUAUGGCAAAUAAAAAUCGAACGAAGAAUAAAAACCAGAGCCAUGAUAAUUGGCAUAAAACAAAAUGUCUAAUUCCAAAAGCUGGAAUUCAUGUCCACAAUAAUUCAAUUAAUCCAAUAAAAGCGGUUAUUUCCAGUCGAUAUUAAGCAACAUUGUCUUUCCGAAGGACACUUAACAUCUGAUAACUGGUUUCCAUACGCGACGGUGUGAUUAGCUUAUGACGUCAGAUGGGGCUUAAAAGUUUAAACAUUAAUUCGUUGUCGCUGACCAUAGACUGAUGAAUGAUGCCGAUCUGAUAAACGGGAAUACAGCAAACGUGCAGCUGACGAUUUGUAUUCCUAGUAAAUCAUGCAGACAUGCAGACACGUAGACAUAUAUCUAACAUGAAGGGCAAAACUAUCAUGGUGAUUUUGAUGUAUGUGCGUCCAGUCCUUCCAAAAAGCCGGACACCUAUUAUUCUAACAACGAUGCCAGUUGUUCUAAAAUAUGAACGAAUUAUUCAUUGAGUUAGCUUUCGAAAUAGCCGAGUAUUCCACAGACGCGUAUGUCAUCAACGUAAUUAUCGAAUACAAUCAACGUCGCACGGUGUGUCUAGACUGGAAAUUAGAAUUACAAGAACAGGCCAUCCAACGGGAUUUUAACGAAGAUCCUACCUACAAUGUUUCACUGAAAUAGCGUAAGUCGAGCGGAUGUCUUGGCAAUGACAGUUGUCUGAAGUAUCAUUCGGCGAGUUUGAACACGAGAUCACAUGAUUGCUAAGCGUGGUAACCAAUCCAGGCAUGUUUUCGGCGAUAUAUAUUUACUCUUUUCUACUGUAGGCACAAGGCCCGAAAUUUUUUUGGUGGGGACAGUCGAUUAGAUCGACCCCAGAACGCAACUGGUACUUAACUUAUCAACCCGAAAGGAUGAAAGGCAAAGUUGACCUCGGUGGAAUUUGAACUCUGAACAUAAACACAGACGAAAUACCGCUAAGCAUUUCGCCCGGUAUGGUAACGUUUCUGCCAGCUCGCCACCGUAGAGAUUUACUGGAAUUCAUAUGAUAUUGUACACAACGCACGCAUACAUACACACACAUGCGCACAAACACACACUCACACACACAUACACACACACAAAUACACACACCCGCACACAAACGUGAGAGACUGUGUGUCUCUGAAGUGCUUGUGUAUCGUUCCAAUGGAAGUAUUACCUAUAUUGUUUUGUGAUCAAUUGGCAGUCUUGCGCUAUUGUGAUGUUCUUUCUCUCAUUCGUACUGUUGCGAAUUAAAACCAUUGCCAUUGCAUUCCCUCGCUUGACUUUGCAGUUCGCUAAACAGAAUGGAGAGGAAAAUAUGUAUCUCUUAAUGACGUCGUGUGUUGCCGAAAAGAGUUUAGACAAAAUACAUUAAGUACGUGUUUACACUAUUAGUUUAUUGGUUUAUACUUUUACAGCUGCUUCUAACUAAAACUUGUGUGUGUGUGUUUGCGCGCGCGCGCGCGCGUGUCUGUGUGUGUGCGUGCAGAUAGAUAAACAGAGAGACAGAUAGAUAGACAUAUAGAAAUAUAAAUAGACAGACAGACUGGCAAACAUAUGAAUAACUCCUGGUUUUACUAAAUUUGUAAAACCUACCGUCCCAACGGGUUCUGAUAAGAAUGAAAUAUAUGUUACUUCACGACCAGAGCCACUGCAUUGCCUCUAUUAUCCAGGUGUUUGUUCAAAUAACCUUUUUUGAGAUAUUUCGUUUGUUUGUUGUUACAGACUUUAUACCGCCACGAGAGAAAGAUUUCUCUACGAAUUGGUAGGGUCAUAUCCGUUGAUCGAUAUUAAAUGUCUGUUAUGCUACCACUUCCAUGUUUAAUACGCAAAUUGUUUCUUUGCGUUUUCUUCAUCCUUCAGUUUCUAAAAAUUGAAACAAAACUGCCUUCCAAAUGAUAAUGUAGAAAUUGGUACUGUCGGUUAACAUGCGCUUUGAGCAUGCCCUGCUUAUACAGGUGGGCCAAUAUAUGUGUAUCUUCAGCUAGAUCAACUGAGUUUUCGUUUAUUCAGCGAAUCAGAUGCCUGGGUUGAAAUAUAAUAUUCCUGAGUGCAUUAUAAAAGAGUAAAGACCCCCUUCAGCCAUAAGUGACCAUGGGAUUGCACCUAGAAAGUUCCCCUCCGAGGCACAAGUCCGGACAAGGUUGUUUAUGGAAGACCAGCAAUCGCCCAUGCAUACCAGCCUCCCCUCUCCACGUCACUGAUGUUAUUCAUUGGAAAAGCAAAGACCGAUACAGCCUGGCACUAGUGACGUCGCAACUCAUUUCUACUGUUAAGUGAACUGAAGCAAGAUGAAAUAAAGUGACUUGCUGAAGAACACAACACACACCUCAGUCCAGGAAUCGAACUCACUACCUCAUGAUUGUGAGCCCGACGCUCUAACCGCUGAACCAGACACUGUAUUAUCCGCUUAUGUAUAGCUUGUUCUACUUCACAAGACUAACAGCGGCCUUGAUUAGACAUCUAAUUAUAACUAUAUUGGGACAUUGACAUAUUUUGAAAUAUAUCCAUAUGACACACCAUCCUGUUCACUACAUAAUAAAGGCGAGGGUCAUUGUUCUAUAAAUAAAUUAAUAGACAGACUUAUGUGCGUUUGUAUGAGUCCAUUUGCUUCUAAGUGUAUGUUUGUAGGCAUUUAAUUAUUUACAUGUGACGUGUAGACAGUAUGAUCUAUAUAUAUAUAACAGCUUACAACACUUGUGCAUAAGCGGUAUUACCUUUAAUGAGGUAAAGCGACGCAUAUAUAUAUAUAUAUAUAUAUAUAUAUAUAUAUAUAUAUAUAUAUAUAUAUAUAUAUUAUAUAUCUAUAUAUAUAUAUAUAUAUAUAUAUAUAUAUAUAUAUAUAUAUAUAUAUAUAGUUAAUCCAAACAUGAAAACACAAAGACAAAACACAACAACGCGAGGACGUGGAACAAAUAUAGUAUUAUUGGACGCUCAGGAAGGAAGGGAAGAAGGAGGGUUUAACGUUUCGAGCGGAGCUCUUCGUCGGAAACAUAGGAGAAGGAACGAUCCAGAGAAGGGAAGCCAGAAGAAAAAAAUCGCGAACGGUGCACACGCGGUCACAUUUUGAAUCAUAUAUGUGUGUGUGUGUGUGUGUGUGUGUGUGUGUGUGUGUGUAAUUAUGUACACACACACACAUAUAUAUAUUGGUUGCUCAAUAGCAAUUUAACAGCCCAAAGACAAAAUUGUAGACGUCACUAAAGUGACAGAGGGUAUUGAUUAGUACCAGCAUUGCGAGAAAUAAGAGUCAAAACAACUCAGUAGCCACAGAUAGCACCAUCUUAAUGAGUAACAAGGGGGAGAAGCUCCCUACAACAGCGGAUAUAGCCAGAUCACCAGGGAUUUUGAAUUUUGAUGCAAGAGCAUCUUAAUUCUCACUGGUGGCUCUUACUGCGCUUAGGGUUAAAUUAGUGCAUGAGUUCAACGGAUUACUUAUAAGCUAAGGUAAGCUGAGUUUAACUCCAGCCGCAGUAAAAGACACCAAUGAGAAUUAAGAUGCUCUUGCAUCAAAAUUCGAAGUCACUGCUGAUCUGGCUAUAUCCGCUCUUGCCUCCCUUGUUACUCAUUAAGAUGGUGCUAUCUGUAGCUACUGAGUUGUUUUGACUGUUAUUUCUAGCAAUACUCUCUCUCUCUCUCUCUCUCUCUCUUUAUAUAUAUAUAUAUAUAUAUAUAUAUAUAUAUAUAUAUAUAUGUAUGUAUGUAUGUAUAUAUAUAUAUAUAUAUCCAUACCUAACUAUCUAUAUAUUUAUCUAUCUAUCUAUCUAUCUAUCUAUCUAUCUAUCUAUCUAUCUAUCUAUCUAUCUAUCUAUCUAUAUAUAUAUAUAUAUAUAUAUAUAAUAUUAGGGAGUAUAACUCCAAAAUUACAGGGAAAAAUUCAAUUUAGUAUUAAAUCAAAUUUCCCAAUAUAAAUAUAUAAUAUAUAUAAAUUAGUGAAAACCACUAUUAUGUAAUUCAAACAAUGAUAGACAUAAUCCAUAUCAUAUAGAAAAAAUAUGAUAUAUUAUAAAACAUAUAUCUAGAUCACAAAAUGUACAAAAAAAUGAAUAUUAUAAAAUGACCAUUAUAUAAUAAGUAAAAAGACUACGUACGUUUCAUGGCUAUAACUUCAAUUCGAAUUACAAUUAAAUUUAAAUUUAAUCCCAAACCGAAUUCAAUUUAAAAGUAUAGACACUCCUCAGUUCAAUAAUAAUAACAAUAAUAGUUAAAUAAAUACAUAUAUUUAAUAAAUUAUCAAAUAGAAUUAAACGAUAUUUCUUAAAGAAAUAAAAACAUGAUUCUUCUUAUAGAAGAAACUCCGUUAACUAAAUUUGAAAUUUAAAAUGUAGGACCAGGUGUCUAUAAUAUAUUUAUCAUGUUAAAAACCUAAGGUAAAAAUAGAGUAAAUAGAUUAAAAAAUGUAUUUUAUCUGUGAAGAUAUAUUUUAGCUUUGAGAAUGAUAUUAACAAACUAUAGUAUAUCUUUACUGGACAAAUAUAAGAGUCUAAUUAAUUAAAGUAAAAAUACUUAAAAUAUAUCAUAUACUUAAGUUAAUCUAAAUUACUAUAAUUUAAUCAUUAUGCUAAAAAUUUUAAGAUUCUAAAACCACCCCUGGGACGUAAGAAAUUUAUGUUUCCAGUUUGGAGAAAAUCAGUUUAAAAACACGGCUGUUAUAUUCUUUUACACACACACACACACACAAACAGAACGGGAUUUACAUUAUAUAUAUUUAUAUAUAUAUAUAUAUAUAUAUAUAUAUAUACGUGUAUGUGUGUGUCAAAACGCUACCCUGCUCAUUAAAACAACAUAGAAACUUAUCUCUAAUGCUAUUGAUGCUCUGAAAAAUGUUUGUACGUCUUCUGUCGAAUUUCUUCGCGUUACUUUGACAGCUCUUCAGAGAAAACCAGUCCGCAUUCCUUCUAAAUUUGAUUCUUGUUAUUCUUGUUAUAAGUCGGAGCAUUACAAAUGGUAGCUCUGCAAAUUAAUUUUAACUAAAAAACAACCUGACAUGUACAAUACAUCUCUCUCUCUUUCUCUCUCUCUCUCUCUCUCUCUCUAUAUAUAUAUAUAUAUAUAUAUAUAUAUGUAUAUAUACAUCUGUCUAUCUAUAUAUAUAUGUAUAUAUUAUUUAAUAAGCAGUAUAUGUUUUUAUGUUCUACUAUUUGUUCCAUGUCUUGAGAACAUGCCAGGAAGUAUAUUUUUUAACACGUAUGGUGUCUUAGCACAAUUAUAAUUGGGGAGAGAAAAUGGUGUGCUCAGCCGUCCACCUUUGUCGUGAUAACGAUGGUGUUGUUGCAGUCGUAGAAAUGGGCACUCCACAUUGCGAGUUUCAUUUCUGAGGCGGGCCAUUGUUAUCCGUUUUUCGGGGGAGGGGGGCGAAAUCGGUAGUGCCGAGUCCAAGAAUACAUGAGGUGGCAACGGCUACUGGGACAAAUUGAUAAUGGCCGGUUAGGUCCCUCUAUUUACUUUUCUCUCUUCUGCAUUACAGACUGUAGGAUACAGCGUGAAGUGUAAUAUGAGGUAAAACUGGUUUGUAGCGUGCGUUUCAGUGAAGGGGGAGAUAAGCAGCUAGCAUUUUGCGAGAAGUUGAGGCCGCUGGAGUAGAGUGAUAUUUGUAACGAGCUGAUGGGAUAGUCUUUGCCAAUCAGCUGAAGAGUAAUGGUAGGGAGCCAGUCUGAAAUAUCUGCAUAUCUAAAGCGACACAGCCCAAAAUAUGUGCGCAGUUCCACAAUUUGAUUCACAAGAGACUGAGUAAGUUAAUUAGGAUAAAUAUUUUUCAGAUCCCAAAGAACAGGCCUAGUCUAGUAGUUUUAACGAAGCCAUAACACUGAAUCAGUUAUGAGGCAUCACAAAUGAUUAUAAAGUCAAGGUCCGAUGUUUAUUAUUUUGAUGAUGUCCGAAUCUGUUUCCUUGAUGUAUGUAUUACAUGUGUCGUAGUAUAAAUGAAGGGGUUUAUAGCUUGCCAUGUUCUCAUUUGCGUUAUACUUUUGAGUUCGUUAUUUGUGUAUACCAUAAACGUGUAAGGGGUGUGUGUCUAGUAUGUAGGUGUAUGAAAGCAGCGUGUGGAAGGGUGAGAACGAACAAAGACUGGUGCAAUGUGCAUAGUAUUUUGCAGCAUUCUGUAUUGCUUCAAGACACAAUUCAGCAAAGUUAUCCACGUACAGCAGGAAGGAUGUAAGAGACAUAACCCAGUUCGGCUGUACAUAAGUAGUGUUAGUGCUAGAAAGAGGGAGAGGGGGAGAGAGAGAGAGAGAGAGAGAGAGUGAGAGAGAGAGAGGUACAGACAGACAGACAGACAAAUAGUUCCGUCGAAAACACAAUACGAAGAUUUUGAUGAGAGAUAUUUAGAACGAAAUCAGAAAAGCUAAAAACGUGGGGUUCAGAAUCGAAAUGCGAUUUUAAUAUUAAGAUGAGACAACAUAUUUUAAGAGAGAUCGUCGUAGAUUAGAUCGAUUGCAUUUAGUAUAAAAUGUAAAGACUUUUUAAAUCGUUUAUUUACAACGUUAAGAGAUAUAACAAACUGCAGCAUGUUACUUUGAUUAGCCAUUCAUGAAUUGCUUAUAAAGUUCAUGCAUUGUACAACUUUCGUAGACUCAUCAAAAUCUGGGCUUCUAAUGUUAAUCUCGAAUGUAGCUUUCUGAUUUUUCUGGUGUACUUUUGAAUUAUAUUAUCACGUAAUAUCGCUAAACUUGCUUCUCUUGACUUAAUUGGUCAAUGCGGUUUACAUGUACAGUUUUCAGUGAAUCGCUUUAAUUAAUUUGCUUUCUUUAUUACAGAGUGUCCAUUGUACUAUUGUACAUGAUUGUAAUUGUCAUGUUUUUUUCUUAUUAUAAGAGGGUAUUUUCUAAUAAAAAGACAUAUUUCAAAUGGCCUUUAAAGUUUCAUAAUUUUCCCAUAAUUUUAACAUUCUAAAUACUUUACUUUAUUUACAAUCUGAAUUCGUUUUGUAUUCGCGCAUAGAGAAAAAGCGAAAGUUAGAAAAAGUUUUUUCUUUACGAGAUGGUUUAUAAGUCUACUUAAGUAUCGUCUGUCUGUGCAAUUAAUGUGACAGUUUGAAGCAAUUAUUCUUCACCAAUUAUUGAAAUCAUCUGUGUAUUUGUCGUAACAAAGAUGUUAGUGGUAUUUACAAAGCAUCAGGAAGAUUGAUUGGAAAUUUAAGGAAUAAAAAAGCUAUAGUGAUUAAGAGAAUAAUCUGUCGAGUAGCAACAUGUACUUCGAUUUGCAUAUAUAAAAUUAUCAUUUUGCAUUACCUCAGUCGAUCUCUCAAAUGUUAACAUUGCAGUGAUUUAAAUAACUCAUUAGUUAUUUGAAUCAAUGCAGAGGGAGAUAACUCGCUUUGGAUCUGAUUCUGUUUAAACUGUUCAAACAUACAUUGCAGCGAUUUUCGUAAACACUUUCCAUUACUGAAGUGGCAAUUCUGUUUCACCGUAAGAGUAACAACAUACAAUUCACACACAUCGUAUAAAGCACUAUCUGAAUAUGAAAUUCAAAUUGGCUCAUAUAUAAACCUUGUGUCUUGAAUCAUAUAUAUAUAUAAAAUAUUAUUAGAGACAAAACCACUAUUUUGCAAAACAAACAAGGAAAGACUUAAUCAAUACAUAAAAUUUUAAUAAAUAGUCAAAAAAACCGCCAUACAAUCGUUUCUUGUCUUGAUCGACAAUAUAUAUAUAUAUAUAUAUUAUAUAUAUAUAUAUAUAUAUAUAUAUAUAUAUAUAUAUAUAUAUAUAUAUAUAUAUAUAUAUAUAUAUAUAUAUAUAUAAAUGUAAAUAUAUAUAUACAUAUAUAAGCAUAUUCAUAUACAUACAUACAUACACACAUACACACACACACAUAUAUAUAUAUCAAAUUAAUCAAGAUAUCAAUUAGAAAUGCAAUACGACUGUUUCAAGCGGAUCCAUUUAGUUGAACAAUGCAAUCAUUGCAUCACAUUAAAUACACCGCUCUCUGCAGCUGCACAAAUAUGGAACUUCAACAAACAAGAUACAUUAAUAUAAUUUCUCUUAAAUAUUUUAACAGAGCAAGAGGAUGGAAGAAACUCAAGUUGUCGCUAUUGCAGGAAGAAUAGCUAAGAGAACAGACUACAAUUUUCGAGAUCACAUAAACCUUUAACAUUUGGCCUCCUAAUUCCCCAGAUCUCAAUCAAUUGGUCUAUUACACGCGGAGUGUUGUUGAGAGAGUGGUCAAUGAAGACGCCCAUGACACCAAAGAUUCUUUGAAAGCUGCCAUAGUAAGAUUAAUGUCCAAAAUGA
rnacentral:lncRNA from 1 species